CUGGGCUCACACACGCGUGUUUCUGCAGGACCAUCUCCUGGAACACACGGGGACCCACGCUUGCCAACAGGACAAGGCAGGGGGGUCUCUGCAGGUUUACCAAAACAGAUAGUAAAAGUGGUCCCAAAGUUCCUGUAUGUCCUGCUGCUGGAGACACCGAGUGUCCACCCUGCCCACCACGCCAGGACCCCUGUGGCAGCCACGAGCCAUGGCGUCAGUGCAUUUACUCCGUCCUAGAAGGUGCUGUGUGGAUGCAGGUGUGACCAGCCCGGCCGCUGCCCCUGGCCCUUCCCCCACGUGACACUUCUGACAGCAAUGAGGAAUUGAACAAAAGGGACCUUGGAGACCCCCCUGCGGGGAGCCACGCAGAAC